rnacentral:rRNA from 1 species
CCUACGGGUGGCAGCAGUAGGGAAUAUUGCUCAAUGGGGGAAACCCUGAAGCAGCAACGCCGCGUGGAGGAUGAAGGUUUUCGGAUUGUAAACUCCUUUUGUUAGAGAAGAUAAUGACGGUAUCUACCGAAUCAUCACCGGCUCCCUCCGUGCCAGCAGCCGCGGUACUACGGAGGGUGCAAGAGUUACUCGGAAUCACUGGGCGUAAAGAGGGCGUAGGCGGGAUAGCAAGUCAGAUGUGAAAUCCUAUGGCUUAACCAUAGAACUGCAGUUGAAACUGUUAUUCUAGAGUAUGGGAGAGGUAGGUGGAAUGCUUGGUGUAGGGGUAAAAUCCGUAGAGAUCAAGAGGAAUACUCAUUGCGAAGGCGACCUGCUAGAACAUAACUGACGCUGAUGCGCGAAAGCGUGGGGAGCAAACAGGAUUAGAUACCCGAGUAGUC